CGAAGUCGCAAGCUCGCGAGAGUAAGCUAAUCUCUUAAAGCCGUUCUCAGUUCGGACUGUAGGCUGCAACUCGCCUACACGAAGUCGGAAUCGCUAGUAAUCGCGGAUCAGCAUGCCGCGGUGAAUACGUUCCCGGGCCUUGUACACACCGCCCGUCACACCAUGGGAGUUUGUAACGCCCAAGGUCGGUGGCCUAACCUUUAUGGAGGGAGCCGCCUAAGGCGGGACAGAUGACUGGGGUGAAGUCGUAACAAGGUAUC
rnacentral:rRNA from 1 species